CUGUGGACAAAUUGUGAAGGAGUUUACCAGAGCCACAGAAGAUAUUCAAGAAAAUGUUAACUGACAGCAUAAUGAAACAUUUUUAAAAAUCCAGAAUGUGGGACAUCUUACUUGACAACUGACCUGAUGUCUUGUAUAUGCCAAAAGCAUGAAUUUAAAGUGGAUCAAAGGGGGGAUACUCUUCCAGAUUGAAAGAGACUCAAGAGACAAAACGAUCACAUGCAAAGGAUGGACAUUUUUGAGAUGACUGGAAAUUCUGAAGUUUUGUUUUUUAGGGCAUAAAAUAAUAUUAAGGAAUUAUUAACUUUCUUCAGUGUGACAGUUGUAUUUUUGUUAUAUUAGAAAAUGUAAUUCUUUGAAGUAUGCAUGGGAGUGUUUAGGGGGAAAUAAUACAGUGUCAUGAUUUUGUUUUAAAAUUACAAUAACAAAAAGGGCAGAAAGACAAUAUUGAUAGAUAAAGGAAGUGUGGCACAUGUUGAAAAUUGCUGAAUCUGGGUGAUGAGGCAAUGGAAUACUUCACUCUUUAUUUCUAUCAAUGUUUGAAAUUUUUCAUAACAUAAAGGUAUGAAAAUGUUUAGUUCUUGUCCAGAAGAAAAGUGGUAAGCAGAACCUUCGUGUAUUUUUAUUUGUUGGGUUUUCUGGAUUUGCGUCCAACUCUCAAUCGACU
rnacentral:lncRNA from 1 species